UCUCUCCCCUAUCAACUUUCGAUGGUACGCUACGUGCCUACCAUGGUGACCAUGGGUAACGGGGAAUCAGGGUUCGAUUCCGGAGAGGGAGCCUGAGAAACGGCAACCACAUCCAAGGAAGG
rnacentral:ncRNA from 1 species